CCACCGACCAAACACCAGGCAUGUUAUAUUGCUUGUACAAUACUGACAGUUUCCACCGACCAAACACCAGGCAUGUUAUAUUGCUUGUACAAUACUGACAGUUUCCACCGACCAAACACCAGGCAUGUUAUAUCGCUUGUACAAUACUGACAGUUUCCACCGACCAAACUAAAGUGAGAAGGGGGGGGUAGUACGCUAGUGUGUGUUACCCAGAUGUCUGUACGGUCAUCGAUGACACAGUGGCUCUCCACGUUAAAGAGCUCAGGGGCGCGGUACGAUAUAGUACACCUCUGAGCUGCCCAGUCCUGUACUGUCAUGGCCUCCCUGGUCCCCUUGACCUCCAUCCUGGAGCGGUNNNNNNNNNNCCCCCCCUUUGGAAUGCCAACUUGGACAGAGGUCAUUAGAGAUUAUACAAUUAUGUGAAUUUGUUUAACAUUACAGCUUCGCAAGGAAACAAGGUCUGAUAAGACAUCGCUAGAAUCAAGGCCGAACUGAGAGGUUUGGCAAGUGGCUACCCUACCCCUUCAGCGAGUCAUUGAGCUAGCAAGUAGCGACAAUGCUAACAGAACUGACGAGUCUGCAUCAAGGCCAAAAGGCCCUCCACACCCUACUGAAGUAUUUCCAGAGAACAGGCCGAGGGGAAAGCACCACCAAGGAUGAGUGAAGCUGAUAAUAACAAGCGUAUCAUUUCUGAAUCGCAGCGCACCAGAGGCAGAGCUGGCUACAUACACACACCAGUCUGUCCAAACUGGCUGACUAUACAGAGAGAUGGGAGUGAGACAUUCAAGAGAAACAAGAAAGUCAAGGAAGAUAAGUACACUAGACAGUGACAUGACAAGAGGACGAGUCUGGGAAUGUUGUGUGUUUGUGUUGGCAGUACUUAUGAAUCAGAGCGUUUUGAUUUGCCAAGGCCCAGCUAUAAACAAGACCACCUGCCACAGUAACAGGAGAACAGACACCAGCCAACUAGGCUUUGCCCUCUGGUAGAAUCAUUUCCCCUUAAGCUAAGUUUAACUUUCAGUAGUAUCAAGGGCAAUUAUUUAAAUGGAAGAAUCCACAUAAUGGGAAAAGGACUUCCUUUUAUGAACUGUAACCCAGUAAAAUAUUUUAAAUGUUUUUUU
rnacentral:lncRNA from 13 species